UUCGUGCGUCCGUAAAAGGCAGUACCGGUGAAUAUUUCAAGGAGAAUUCAGGCACGAUUCUCCUCGACGCGUUUACGCAGACUUUAGUCCGCCGUUUAUAUUUUGAUUCGUAAAACGGGCUUAGAUCUCUUAUACCACAGUUCGCAGAGCAUCGCAGAUUCCCAUGGAUUUACAGUUGUGGUUUUCGUAGAGUGAAUUUUAAUUACGUAUACGUUAUGUACCGUGAGCCUUCCACGUUCGAAUUUUGAGGCGUGUGUGUGUUCGUGUGCGUGUAUGUUCUACGCGUUGCGAACGGUUCGUCGCGCAUCGUCGACUGGGAAUUUUCUAGUCCUUUUUUAUAUGUUCUUUCUGGGUUUUAUUUUAUUUUUUUAUUUUUUUUCUGUUCCUUUUUUCUCUUUCUUUUAGGUGCAGUCGACGAAAACGUUUGUGUGUUUGUUGUGCCUUUGCACCGCUUGAUAGAUCACGGACAGGAUGCUACUGGUUAAAUUUAAUGCAUCAUAAAGCGACUGCGGUCCCUCCAAACAAUCCAAUUGUCAAUUGUUUAUCCAUGUCAUUGUACAGUGUCGAUAGAUUAGAUUGUAGAACGUAAAAUCAAAACGAAGGAUCCCAUAAUAAAAGAGAUAGUUAUGUAAGAACGUGUAACGAAUAUACCGAGAUAGGGCGAGAGCUCUUAGAGAUGAUGCUCUUGAAGCUUAACCAAGUGUUUCUUACAAGUGUUCUUGCUUGUAGGUACUAUCAUUUUUUCCCCUUACAAUACCUACCGUAUUAUAUAGAUGAGUAACUGUAUUAUUAUUGAAUAAUAUCUACCGUCCCAGCUGUGGAAAUGUUUUCCAGGCGAAAGUUAACUACUCCGAAUUUAGGCGUCGUCUGGAUUUAGUUUCCCGUACGAAAAUAACCCGUCGAAUGAGAGAAAAAUAAUUCUUUCUCUCGUUCUCGAAUGGAGCGGAAUCGCACAGGCUCCCUGGCGGUCACGUGAACAACGUGAAUUCUAAAAUACAGGAAUAGAAGUAAUUGCAAAAGACGAGAGGGGAAGUGUAAGAAAAGUGGUAGAAUGAAGAAAAAAAUAUCUUCACACCAUUCUUAAGGUCUCAAUUGUACUUUGAACUUCUCAGAUCAGUGAGUUGAUUCUUCGCGGUCAAGGCGGACAGAUCGCUGCGUCUGUCAAGACUCUUCUAAACGUUUUCUGCCGUAUAUCUAUACACACGCGAAGCUGCUUGUUGAGUGUAGCAGGGGUGACUUAUAGCUUGGCUAGGGUGACCCGCCCGUUGCC